CAGCCGCCGCGGUAAUACAGAGGGUGCGAGCGUUAAUCGGAUUUACUGGGCGUAAAGCGUGCGUAGGCGGCUUCUUAAGUCGGAUGUGAAAUCCCUGAGCUUAACUUAGGAAUUGCAUUCGAUACUGGGAAGUUAGAGUAUGGGAGAGGAUGGUAGAAUUCCAGGUGUAGCGGUGAAAUGCGUAGAGAUCUGGAGGAAUACCGAUGGCGAAGGCAGCCAUCUGGCCUAAUACUGACGCUGAGGUACGAAAGCAUGGGGAGCAAACAGGAUUAGAUACCCGCGUAGUCCCUGUCUCUUAUAC
rnacentral:rRNA from 1 species